rnacentral:rRNA from 1 species
UACGGAGGGUGCAAGCGUUAUCCGGAUUCACUGGGUUUAAAGGGCGCGUAGGUGGAUUGGUAAGUCAGUGGUGAAAUCUCCGGGCUUAACCCGGAAACUGCCAUUGAUACUAUCAGUCUUGAAUACCGUGGAGGUCAGUAGAAUAUGUCAUGUAGCGGUGAAAUGCUUAGAUAUGACAUAGAAUACCAAUUGCGAAGGCAGCUGGCUACACGAAUAUUGACACUCAGGCACGAAAGCGUGGGGAUCAAACAGG